GAAAACAUUUUCCCCUCACAGAUCUACCUUUUCCUUAACAUUCUACAAUCUGCGUUUUGCUAUCUAGCCCCUGGAAACAAUCCCACCUCAAACAUAAACCCAUGACUUUAUGGAUAACCCCCUAAACUUUCUUUCCCAAAAGCAAUCAAGUCCAUCUUCAACCUCCAGAUGCUACAACACAGGCACAGGACACAACAGGAAGGGAGUCA
rnacentral:lncRNA from 1 species